rnacentral:rRNA from 1 species
CCUACGGGAGGCAGCAGUGGGGAAUUUUGGACAAUGGGGGCAACCCUGAUCCAGCAAUGCCACGUGAGUGAAGAAGGCCUUCGGGUUGUAAAGCUCUUUUGUCAGGGAAGAAACGGCGGUUUCUAAUACAGAUCGCUAAUGACGGUACCUGAAGAAUAAGCACCGGCUAACUACGUGCCAGCAGCCGCGGUAAUACGUAGGGUGCAAGCGUUAAUCGGAAUUACUGGGCGUAAAGCGUGCGCAGGCGGUUAUAUAAGUCAGAUGUGAAAUCCCCGGGCUCAACCUGGGAACUGCAUUUGAGACUGUAUGGCUAGAGUGUGUCAGAGGGGGGUAGAAUUCCACGUGUAGCAGUGAAAUGCGUAGAUAUGUGGAGGAAUACCGAUGGCGAAGGCAGCCCCCUGGGAUAACACUGACGCUCAUGCACGAAAGCGUGGGGAGCAAACAGGAUUAGAUACCCUGGUAGUCCACGCCCUAAACGAUGUCUACUAGUUGUCGGGUCUUAAUUGACUUGGUAACGCAGCUAACGCGUGAAGUAGACCGCCUGGGGAGUACGGUCGCAAGAUUAAAACGUCAAAGGAAUUGACGG